UACGUAGGUGGCAAGCGUUGUCCGGAAUUAUUGGGCGUAAAGCGCGCGCAGGUGGUUUCUUAAGUCUGAUGUGAAAGCCCACGGCUCAACCGUGGAGGGUCAUUGGAAACUGGGGAACUUGAGUGCAGGAGAGAAGAGUGGAAUUCCACGUGUAGCGGUGAAAUGCGUAGAGAUGUGGAGGAACACCAGUGGCGAAGGCGGGUCUCUGGGCCGAUACUGACGCUGAGGAGCGAAAGCGUGGGGAGCGAACAGG
rnacentral:rRNA from 1 species